rnacentral:tRNA from 1 species
GGUUGAAUGGUCUAGUGGUUAUGAUUUCUGUCUCACAUUACAUCAAAUGUGAUCACAGAAGGUCCCCAGUUCGAUCCUGGGUUCAACCA